GAACGACCAGCCGUUCAGCUGAGCCUCAAGUUUGCUGAGGGAAACUUCAGCGCCGACCACGACCUUGAACAGAUACACAUGAAAUAAACACGACAGAAGCCGGCCGGUAAACCAGCAGUAGCAUGAGAAAGCAAGUCAUUUGAUCAGGAAACAAUAAAGGAACCUUUACCCACUGCACACAAAAAAUCAAAUGCUAAGAAAACUGCUACAGCAGCACCCCGUCAUUACCUUCAGUCUCAGUCAGAGCCCAAUGCCCUGGAUGCCUGUGUUUUCCCCCUGAGCAACCGGGCGGCCUCAGUCUCCAAGUGGGACACCUGGCUCCGAGUUGACCUUCACCCUGAACCCCCCAGCCCCAGCCAAGCUGUCCCACCCUGUCUCAACCCCCCUCACUUCUUCUCCUCGUUCUUCUCUUUCUCCUCCCU